rnacentral:rRNA from 1 species
UACAGGGGGCGCGAGCGUUGCUCGGAAUUACUGGGCGUAAAGCGUGCGCAGGCGGUUAUGCAAGACAGAUGUGAAAUCCCCGGGCUCAACCUGGGAACUGCAUUUGUGACUGCAUAGCUAGAGUACGGUAGAGGGGGAUGGAAUUCCGCGUGUAGCAGUGAAAUGCGUAGAUAUGCGGAGGAACACCGAUGGCGAAGGCAAUCCCCUGGACCUGUACUGACGCUCAUGCACGAAAGCGUGGGGAGCAAACAGG